rnacentral:rRNA from 1 species
AUGGACCAAGGUCGUGGCGCUGCCGCCGCUGCGCACGGAGAUGUGGUCGAGGGCACGGAGACCACGGCAGAUGCCGUCCAAGAAGUGGCCGUCGUCGGCGGUGCGGGAGAUGCUUCACCUGCAGUCGCCGGAUCGGUCCCUGCGGCGGCGGAUCUGGUGGCACAGGGGGUGGUGGGCUCGGACUCCGUCGUGGCAGACCUGGUGGUGACGGCGUCUGAUAGCUCACUGGAUGUAGGUGCCGAGAAUGAGGAAGCUGCUGGCAACAAGAGGAAGCUGGACAUCGCUGGGUUUGAUGACCCGUCUGAUUCUCACGACGACGAGGAGUACAACUCUGGAGAUGAGGUGGAAGAGUGGAACCACAAGUCCUUCAUUGAGCAUGAAGCCAACAAGAUCAUGGAGAAGGGGAAGGUGGCGUACUACAAGUGGGGCAAGUUCAGGAUGGACGAGCUGAAUGGAGAAAUAGUGUGCGCCGUUGAAAAAUGGUGCAAGCUUGUUGCCGCUCUAUCGAGCAGUCAACACGCUAGAGUGGUUGAUACAACAUUGCCUAGCAUGCUGUAG